rnacentral:tRNA from 1 species
GCCGGAGUGGCGGAACUGGUAGACGCACAGGUCUCAAAAACCUGCGGGGUUUCCCCGUGUCGGUUCGAUCCCGACCUCCGGUACCA